UAAGGAAUAUUGGUCAAUGGGCGAAAGCCUGAACCAGCCAUGCCGCGUGAGGGAUGAAGGUCCUCUGGAUUGUAAACCUCUUUUAUCUGUGAAUAAAUGUCCUGUUUCUACAGGAUUUGAAGGUAAUAGAUGAAUAAGCACCGGCUAACUCCGUGCCAGCAGCCGCGGUAAUACGGAGGGUGCAAGCGUUAUCCGGAUUCACUGGGUUUAAAGGGUGCGUAGGUUGAUAGGUAAGUCAGUGGUGAAAUACUCCGACUCAAUCGGAGAACUGCCGUUGAUACUAUCUAUCUUGAAUACGGUGGAGGCGGGCGGAAUGCGUCAUGUAGUAGUGAAAUACUUAGAUAUGACGCAGAACACCUAUUGCGAAGGCAGCUCGCUACACCGGCAUUGACACUGAGGCACGAAAGCGUGGGGAUCAAACAG
rnacentral:rRNA from 1 species